rnacentral:rRNA from 1 species
AUCCUACGGGAGGCAGCAGUGGGGAAUAUUGCACAAUGGGCGCAAGCCUGAUGCAGCCAUGCCGCGUGUAUGAAGUAAGGCCUUCGGGUUGUAAAGUACUUUCAGCAGUGAGGAAGUGGGUAUGUUAAUAGCAUAUUCAUUUGACGUUAGCUGCAGAAGAAGCACCGGCUAACUCCGUGCCAGCAGCCGCGGUAAUACGGAGGGUGCGAGCGUUAAUCGGAAUUACUGGGCGUAAAGCGCAUGCAGGUGGUUGUUAAGUCAGAUGUGAAAGCCCGGGGCUCAACCUCGGAAUUGCAUUUGAAACUGGCAAACUAGAGUACUGUAGAGGGGGUAGAAUUUCAGGUGUAGCGGUGAAAUGCGUAGAGAUCUGAAGGAAUACCGGUGGCGAAGGCGGCCCCCUGGACAGAUACUGACACUCAGAUGCGAAAGCGUGGGGAGCAAACAGGAUUAGAUACCCUGGUAG